CCCCCCCCCCCCCCCCUUUUUUUUUUUUUUUUUUUUUAGCUCAGGAGGUCGGUGUGGUUUCACAAGAGUGUGAAAUGUAACGGACGUGGCAACUUUACAGUAGCCGGCCCUGCUGAAUGCCACGGGCGAACUGGGCGUGGGGGGAGAGACGGUCACAGAACAGCGGCUAAUAAUCCUCAAAUGUGCCUCGCGCACGGCACAAAUUGCGCAUAAUUGGCACAGUGAGACCACAGCGCCAAGUGGCUCGCGGCGGAGCCGGCGGACUCACCUGGAUCAAAUCAACUUUAGGUCGCCCCGUCCGCACCUGAUCUGCUUCCAGGAAUCUGCAGCGGAGUUAACUGACGGAGGGCCAGCGGUGAGGAGCGGUGGGCCUCUCGGCAGACCGGCUGGAAUGUGGACCAUAUGUAGCAGGCAUCCCAGGAAUGUAACUCGGCCUCGCUGAACUGACCAACCUAAAGACACAGAGGGAGAGAGCGGCACAGGAUAAGGAGGAGAGAAAGGGACAACAUGAAGGAAGCGCUAGGACGAUGAUAUUGAAGUGCGAAAGAGAUCACGGAAGGUUUAAGAGGAAGUCAAAAUUGUAAAGGAAAUCGAAUAACUGACAUGGAUUAACUCAGCGAUGCAGAAGUUUCACUUGAAGAUAAUCCAUUCAGCGGUGAAACACAAACCUCGGAAGGAGUUUAGAAACUGUCCACUAAUACUUGGAAUUCAGCAGAUCAAUGAUAGUUGAAGACUUUGUCAAGCCAAGUCACAUUUAUUCAUAAAGAGCAUUUAGAAAACCAGAGUUGACUGAAGGAGUUGUUCCUGAAACAGUGUAAAAAAUAUAGAUUAAAAGAAGAAAAAAAAGAGUGGAGCGAUGAUAAAAUCAAUCUGAAU